CAUGUACAAUGAAAUGCUAGUGAGCCACAAAUUACUUUUAUACAGUAAAUUUAACCCACAUCUAUAUAUUUCUUUCAAGACCUGAUGGGUUUUUUGAUGGAGUCUUUUUGGCCAAUGAUGCUGAGGUGUCCUCCUUUGUUGAUUACAUCCAUGGAACAACUGGACAUAAUCCAGGGAAAGGGAGAUGUGGUGCUGGUCAGUGGACCGCAGCACGAGAGUCUGCCAACAAGUCUGGAAGCAAACUAGACGAGGAAGGUGUUGAAGUUGCUGUCUGCCGUCAUGGGGUUUUGCUGAAGGGACUGAAUAUGUUCAGUGGAGAAAUAUUUGCAUACCCAUUAUAUCUCCAGAAACAGCUAGCUUCACAGACCGUCCAGUUUUUUUGCUCUGAUGUGGUCUGCAAAUAUUGGCCAUAUCUGCAGAAAGUUGUGGACCACUGUCCAGAGUUGGAGGACUUGCUGAACAUGCGCCCAUUUCUCUCCAUCAUGCAUGCAAAAGCGCAUUCAUGGAUGUGUGAAUUAAAAUGGGGGGGACGCAAUCAAGAAGGAGCUGGAACAACAAUCGGGGAGGAGGUUGAACAGGUUAACAGCUUCCUCUCUCGAGCAGCCAUAUGUUCCAAGUACAUGUCAAAAGCCGUUCGCACAGACAUGCUAACAAUCCAGGCAAGUGGCUGGAACAAGCGAAAGGCAGAAAACCUUGACCGGACACUGGCCAAAAGAUACAUCAAGACUGUACAAAGGAUUGCAGAGGCAACAAAGGACCUGGAGAAACUCACAGCUGAGUUAUCUCUAUAGCAAGACACAGUCCAGCAGUGGGUGUCUGAUGUUCAGCAGUGGACCUCAGGAGCAACAAUCCAAAAUGACCUGCAGAGGACCAUCGAGGAGCUAUAUCUGGGCAUCAAACAGCGAAAAGUUCAGCUGUAUCGUCAGUCUGGUGGGAACAAGCGAAGGCAUCAACUGAGAAGAAAGAUUGCUGUUGAGAAGAAAGCCUUGGAAGUUGCCAUCAAUGACCACAAUGCUACUGUGGGGGAAGUUGAAAAACUGCCUCCUCCCAAUGAACUCCUGGCUGUGGAUAACUACUCCUGGCCAUGGGAAUGUCAUGGUGAUAUGGAGCGGAAAAAAAAUGUUUUUGACAAGGUAAUGCUGCUGGCUAGACUGAAAGAAGAAGAA